rnacentral:rRNA from 1 species
AAUGAUGAAUGUCAUAGAUUAGACAUAGAAUAGUUUAUUCUAUAAAUGAAAGUGUAAGCAUUCCACCUCAAGAGUAAUUUGGCAACAUUGGAACUGAAAUCAUUAGACCGUUUCUGAAACCAGUAGUGAAGUAUGUUGUUUAAUUUGAUAAUCCGCAAAAAACCUUACCACAAUUUGAAUAUUUAUAUUAUUUUUCUGAUCUGUUACAUGAAAGGAAAAAAUAUAUUUACAAGCGUUGCACGGCUGUCUUCAGUUAAUGUCGUGAGAUUUUGGUUAGUUCCAUUAAAUUAACGUAAACCCUUACUUUAUUUUUAUAUAAAGUAGUUCCCCACUAGAUUGGAUAAGAUAACAGGGACUAAGACAAGUCAUCAUGGCCUAAAUAUUGU